GCUGGUCCUGUGGCAGAUAUUUUUCAAGAGUAUUGUCAUGACAACUGAGUCAAGGAAUUCCUUUUCCUGCCUUUGUUACCGCCGUUGUUAGGUGAGGAGUCACAGGUGGCUGAUGAGUGAUGCUCUGACUGGUCCAGGGGCUGCCUCUCCCUCAAUCCUCCUAAAGGCUGAAAUUUUACAUGGCCUUUCAGGCUUCAAAUCUGAUGGAAUCAGAACAAAUGGUCAGAGCCAUGGCAGCAGAAAGCUUUGGACUGAGCACCAGAGAGGUGCAGUCCCAGACCAGUUUGCACUAAUGAACAAUAAAUUUUUUACCUGUGGAAAAGGCCACACUUGAAUUUUGAUUUGGUGUUAAUAUCCCCCAGAGAAGUGACAGAUAUCUGUUGGGACAGGAGUUGAAGGGAGAAUACGAAUAUGAAGAGGAAAAAUGAAAAAAAACCCCAAACAAUCCAACCCUGAAAAUGAAGUGGAAUUUUUGGUCAAAUAGAAAUGUAUUAAAAUCUUCACUACUGAUGAAAUUUUGAGCACAAGCUUACAAGGGGUUUAACGACACUUUCCAAAUAUGACUGAACUAUAUAAUCUCUUUUUGGUUAGAUCUGAAAGCUUUGAAAUAUCUUGGAA